AUGCUUGGGUAAUCGCUUUGUGCGUUUCGCACAGAGAGGAAAGUCCAUGCUCGCACAGACUGAGACGUCUGUAGUGUUCGUGCUUGACGAAACCAUAAGUCAGGGGAGCAUGUUACAUGCUUACGGCAAGGAAAAUGCCUAAGUCCUCUUUAGGAUAAGGCAUGACUACUUUGAAAGUGCCACAGUGACGAAGUUCAAUCGGAAACGAUUGAAGUGGAACGAGGUAAACCCCACGAGCGAGCAACCCAAAAUUAGGUAGGGGCACUUCCCUGAGGGAACUGAACUGAAGGGGAAGACAAGCAAUGCUUGUAGAUAGAUGAUUACCACCGGAGUACGAGGUUGACCGCCGUUUGCAGUACAAAGGUACAGAACAUGGCUUACAAAG
rnacentral:RNase_P_RNA from 2 species